GAGCCGGUUCGGAGACCGCCGUCGUGUCGGUUCAGCCGUUCCUCCUUCGGUUCGAGUUGUUGAGACUGUUGCGAAAGUGGCUUGGAACCGAGGUUUUGGCUGCCGGGAUUUUGAUUGUUGAUCUCGGGUUGAGGCGGAAAGGAUUCUGUGACGCGUUUGGAUUAUGAAUUUGCAUUUUGAGGUAGGUGCGCUUUCCGAACACUAUAUUUUGUAUAUUGGAAUUAUUACAUAUGGGUACUGAUGUGAGGAUGUGUAUUUGGUGAUUGUAUCAGUCCUAUGUAUUGUUUGGUUG